UGUAGUUUGUUCCAUAUCCAUUUCAGAAUCUGAAUGUUAAGAUCUACUAGUAUAAGGUAGAAUCUGGAUGUUACAGAUUCGCAUGCUGAAACCCAAUCAUCUGGUGCCUCUGUCAGUAAUGAACUCUAGCAUGGUAGAGGAUAGGAGGUUCGCUAAAAUGCUAGAAAAACACCUUGGAUAACAUGUGGAAGUAGUUCUAAAAAAUGCAGCAGACAAUUGCUGAUGGAAAGGUAUUCACAGUUGAUCUGAAGAAAAAGCCACAAAACUCGAGUUGUUUUUGGCUUCAAAAGUUAACUCCGCUUUUCCCCGUACAGAUUUUGCCAACGGAUCUAUCAAUAACUUGUGUGUUUGAACUGUACAUGGAAUCAUUUGUAAUGUAUCUUGUCAUGUGUGUAUGGUGGGCGCUUAUGGUCAGAUCAGUUGUGGGGUUAAAGGUUGUUUCCUAAAUGUUUCAUACAAUUAAGUAUACAACUGAGCCAAGAUGGCAGUAAAAGAAAAGAAAAUCAGUUUUCUAUCUCUGAAUUGUGUGUAAACAAAGCAAAAUCAUCUUACCAUUUAUCUAUAUCAGCAUUACUGAUUUUAUAUCUCAAAUCCUCAUGCUGUACUCACAGAUGUAGUUUCAGGUCUAGUGGUACUGGUAACCAUCACGUUCACUCAGUCUGAAGAGUUAUCUUGUUCCGUAGGCUAGCUUGAGCGAGUGAUUGUUUGUCACAUAGAAAGUCCCAGCGACUCUUUGAGGCCCCAUUGCUAGAUCACUAUUUGUGAACUGGAGUUGAGGUUUUGUCCUAACCAUCACGCACAGUAAGUCGCAAGAGUUAUCUUGUGUCUGUGACUUGCUUACUUGAGGAGUGAUUGUUUGUGAUAUAGCAAGUCCGGGUGGCUCUCUGCCGCUAGAUCACUAUUUGCCAAUUAGAGUUGAGGUUGGAAUAUAGUGAAAAUCAAACUCACGUUUUGCCUAGUUCUCUUGAACGGAGGUUAAACAUGAGAAUGGAACUCCUCAAUUUAUGCUAUUUCAAGAAAUUAUCAAGAAUGGUUCAUUGAGUGUGAAAAUCGAACUCCCGAUUUUUAUUUCAAGCAAGUUAUCAAGAAUGGUUGGAGACCAUGUUAUUUGCUAAAUGAUUGAUAUGCCAUAUACCAUGAGAAUGGAAAUAUUGGUUGUCUCAAGCAAGUAAGGAAGAAUGGUAGGCGAUCAUGUUCUUUGGAGAUAUUCGAUGGAAAUGGAACUCUUUUUUAUCACCAUACCGGUGUGAAGUCAGUGUUUUCAAGUCAAUACGGCAACAAGUUUUAGUGCAUUCCAAAUGGGUAAAUGGAGUAACUUGCUUGUAAUUUUUAUUUUUGUGGUGUAAACAUAUAAUGUGUUAUAAUUUAAUUAGCAUCGUGUGCUUUGAGGAACAAAAUUGUAGUUUUAUU